rfam:Phaseolus vulgaris cultivar G19833 chromosome 2, whole genome shotgun sequence.
UAUUUGGAUUUUUUCAAAUCCAUUUAAAAUAGAUUAAAACUAGAUU